rnacentral:rRNA from 1 species
AUGGCGAAACGGCUGCGAUCACCGGAUCGCGGCGACGGCGGGAAGCGGCCGCGGCACGGCCGGAAGCACCUCUACGUCGUGCUGGACGACCGGCAGAAUGGGUACAGCGUCCACAAGGUCGACGCGGACGCCGACGGCGUGGGUCUCGCCGACCCUCCGCUGUUGCAACUCGAAUCCAUGGAGGACUCUGGGGGCGUGCUGGUCGGCGCCCUCGGCAGCAAGAUCCUCGCCCUGUGGCAGCCGACGGCGGACGGGCAGCUCACGACCCACGCCGUCGCGUAUGGCACCGACACCGAUAAGCUGGCCGUCGGCCCCCCGCACCCGGACGCGCUGCUGACCAUGCGCUUCGUCGUCGCCGCCGGGGAGCGGCUCUACGCGCUGCACGAGGGAGGCCUGCACUGCUUGGAGUUGGUAUCGGAGUCGGACUCGGACUCGGACGAGACGCUGCCGUCUGGCGCGGACGAGGCGGAGGAGCACCGGUGGGCGUGGACGAGGGUCUCGUCGCCGCUGCGGCUGCCGGGCUGCGGCGGCGACCCGGAGGAAGACGACGAGCCCAUCGAGAUCACCUCGUACGCACUGCACCCCGACGGGCGCACCAUCUUCGGCCAGGGCCACUACGACGCCGGCCUGGACGCCUGGGUCGGGCUCCACUCGCCGGGGUACAUGUGCGCCUGCGACGUCCCGGCGCCUGUCACCAACGGGCACCACAGCGGCGACGCGCCGCGGCAGCCGGCCUGGGAGCUCGUGAGCGCGGCCAGCCUGCUCUACGCGGACCCAGACCCGAAGGUGAGCGACUCCGCCGCCUGGCUCGUCUGCAUGGGGGGCGGCCAGUUCUGCGUCGUGGAGUCCAUGGCGCUAGCCGAGGCCGAGCAGGAGGACGAGCAUUUGCUGCUCCGUCUCGCCACGCUCCGCCUUGAACGCGAUCUCCAUGGAGGGCUGCGCGCUUCGUCUCGACGCACCCUCGCCUGCCGAGUGCUCAAGUUUGAUCCACUGUUCAGUCCGCGGGCAUUCUGCAUGUAG